GGGAAGAUGGCUCAGUGGUAGAGUACUUGCCUAGCAUGCAUGAAGCCUGGGUUCAAUUCCUCAGUACCA
rnacentral:tRNA from 1 species